rnacentral:rRNA from 1 species
GACGAACGCUGGCGGCGUGCUUAACACAUGCAAGUCGAGCGGAAAACUUCGGUUUUCAGCGGCGGACGGGUGAGUAACACGUGGGCAACCCGCCUCACAAUGAGGGAUAGCCUUCCGAAAGGAAGAUUAAUACCUCAUAACACAAGAGAAACGCAUGUUUCUCUUGCCAAAGAAUUUCGUUGUGAGAUGGGCCCGCGGCGCAUUAGCUUGUUGGUGAGGUAACGGCUCACCAAGGCUUCGAUGCGUAGCCGACCUGAGAGGGUGAUCGGCCACAUUGGAACUGAGACACGGUCCAGACUCCUACGGGAGGCAGCAGUGGGGAAUAUUGCACAAUGGAGGAAACUCUGAUGCAGCAACGCCGCGUGAGUGAUGAAGGUCUUCGGAUUGUAAAACUCUGUCUUCUGGGACGAUAAUGACGGUACCAGAGGAGGAAGCCACGGCUAACUACGUGCCAGCCGCCGCUGUAA